CCGCGCACACCCCUCACACACGUACGCCCAUCUCAUCUUUCGGCCUCCCCCUUCGUCAGCGUCCCCUCCCCCUUCCCUUCCUCCCCGUCGUCAGAGACAAGGUGUGUGCGCGCAGGGUGUGGUCUGCUGCACGUGGGCUGCAUCGUCGCUCACAAGAAACCCCACACGCACACGUACACACUCAAGCACGAUUGAGGAAAGGGGGCUCGAGCAUAUCGUCCUUGUCGCCGUCGUGGUGGUGCCGCUGUCGCACGCACUCGUCGCAUCUUUCGGUGUCUGUGUUUGUGUGUGUUUGUGUGUGUUUGUGUGUGUGUGUGGUGUGUGUCGGUGCAGAAGGUGGGAGAGGGCGGGAGGGUGUUGCCUUCUCGUUUUGCUUGACGCAUGCAACAUCGCCCGAGACUGCCAUCUGCGCGCAGCGUCCACCACGCCAUUCGCAAGGGUCCCUUGCCCGUUUGGUUUUGCUGUCCUCUCCUCCUCUCACGUCACGCACGCCGUCUCACCACACACGCGCCCACGGCAUGGCUUCUAUACUGACGAGACAGGCGCUGUGGGUGCCAGUGGUGAAGCACAACCCGGCGUUUGUUGAGAGCGUCCACAGGCUGCUUCGAAGCAGCCCCAUCACCUCUCUUACCGCCGCCGCCAUCGGGCUAAAGCUGGAGGAGGUGCAAGUCGCGCUGGAGCCAGACGCGUGGCACCCCGACAAGAUGGUGGCGUCCAUGAUGGCGUUCCCGGUACAGAUCUCGGCUGCUGCGUGUGACUACAUGCUCGAGCAGCAACAGCGACAGCAGCCGAAACCCCGAGAGCUUACUUUCGGGUUCGCGAUUUCCAUCUGCGACUCGUGCAACACGCUCCAUGUGAUGGAGCGGCUGCUGCCAGCGUCCAGCCGGCACGUAUCUGUCAACAUGCAGACCCACUGCAUGCGCAACCUCCGGGAAGAGGAAAAGGUGGUGGUGGUGAGCACCAUCGACAAGAUGGGCAAGCGGCUCGUGUACUGCAAGACAGACUUUUUCGUUGAGGCGGCAGAGCCAGUGCCGGAGGAGGUGGUGCAGCGCGAGAAGAGCAUCAAGACGUUGGCAGAGUUGCGUGCAGCGCUGAUGCACUACGAGAAGGCGGUGUCGGGGGCGCAUGUCAAGUCGAUUAUGUCAGCGAGCAAGCCCGGAUAACGUGGGUGGCGUCCCAUCGUCGUCAUGUCUCUCGCUUCUUGCAUUCGGCCGCGGAUCGUAUCACCCUUGCCAAAUUGUAUAGAGCGGAAGCGGGCACGGGAAGGGGAGAGGCCGUAAGAGAAGGAGAAGGAGGGGGCUUGUAGGACGUAGCGGUGUGCAUAACGCAUGUCUGCGUCUCGGCGACUCGCCUUCCUCAUCGAGCACCUCAUGGCACACGAAUCAGACCCUUUCUUGAACCUCCCCUCCCCUCGCGGCGUGUCGUAUCUGUGCUGCGGCUCUCGGUGUUUGUGGGCGUUGCCUCUGCGCCUGCCCUCUCUUCUUCUCCCGCCCUUUAACGUCAUCGCUCACCGAUACAUCCCCUUCUCUCUUCCAGGCGAUGCACGCGCACGCGCAUCUGCAGGGAAUCAGUCGGCGGGUUGAUUGGUUGAGGCAGGAUGGCUACUAUUCGCUCCAUCCUGUGCUGGAUGAAGGCGCACGAUUUCGUGAGUGCGGCGUUUCCCAGCGUGUUCGACAUCAUCCUUGUAGAGAAGCGGGGUUAGUAGGGUGGGCCUUCCACGCGCUUGGUAGCCGUCCUGUUCACGUUGUGCCCCGAGGGCGGCGUCGUUAACCCGGCCACGCUGUGCACAGGGAACGAUGCCACGGCGAUGCUGAUGGGCCGGAUAGCCCCCUGCUACAUCGCGAUAGCGAAUCCCCCUUCUACGAACGGACGUGUCUGUCGAUUCAGGCGAACAGCAAGGCCUCUCCUUCUGCGGUGUGGCCUCACCUAUUUUCCCAUACCGCGCAUCGGCAAGAUGGGCAGGCGCAUCGUGUACGCGAGCGUCGACAACGUCGAGCCGCCGCUGAUGCAGUGCCACCGAUGAACACGACUGCAGAGCUGCUGCCAGCCAUGUAAAGUCCAGCGGUGCUGUCGAACGGGAAGCACGUCAAGGCGAUGUUGCCCAUCAGCGUUCCGACGAGAACACAACAUCACGCGCGGGCAGCGGCAAGCACAGGCGCAUACGUGCGGUGAGAGGGUUUGGCCGGUGUCGUCCAUCAUUUGCGAGCUCCCGUGCAGCCUCCCUCGCG
rnacentral:misc_RNA from 1 species